CUGAAAAUGUGCAUGGGAUGAGGGAGGGGAACUUCUCUUCCCUGUAUCUUCCAGAAGGAAUCUGCACAGCUGGGAUGAGUGGGGACUGUUGGGUGCUUUCAUGCUUUUGAAAACCUGGCUGCUCACUUUUUAGACGCCUUGAAUGGCCCAAAUCUACAAAUGUCACCUUAAUUUUCUGAGACAACACAACAGUUCCUAAAUGGCUUUCUGUGUGUUUGUUUCCUAGGACACACCACCUUGCAAUUCCCUAAAGGCUCCAGAUAUAUCUAUAGGUAUUCUACAGCCACCACCACAUUCCUACAGGGACCCAUUUACAAAAGGAGUGGUGUUUCCCUUGAGAGCACAGUGAUCCUUGAAGCACUAGGAAAGUGCCAUAUGGUCUUAAAAAUGCAAGAAGUUCAGAUAAAGAAGACACGGGCAUCCAGGGAAGAUCCACUGAAAGGAAUAGAUAGUUUAAGGGAACUGCUAGAGCGGCAUCCUCUUCACUUUUCUUUCCACGAGGGGAGAGUUUUAACAAUCUCCCCACUGAGGAGUGAACAGACCUGGGCACUGAACAUCAAACGGGGCAUACUCAGUAUCCUUCAGACUGCACGUGCACCCACUGCCGAUGGAAUCGUUGAAGAGGUGGACAUUCUGGGAAAAUGCCCAACCAAAUAUCAACAAAAAGGCCCUAUUCUUUUGAAGACGAGAGACUUAAACCUGUGUUCUCACCGGUAUUCAGGUUUUACCUCCUUGCAGUCCAUUGCUCUACCUGGUGCAGUGUCCCAGCAGCAGCUCCUGUCUUCCAAAUUGGAAUGUGUUCAGAGCUUUAAGGAAGGAAUCCUAGCAGAGGCCAAAUGUACUGAGUCCAAUCUCCUUACCCCUUUCUCUAGGAAGGGCAGUGGAGCAAAGACACAGACACAGUCUGCACUAAAACUACUUCAAGUAGAGGCAGAGACCUUGUACAAGAAAGUGGACUGCAAGGAUCUCUAUGUGAGUGGUAUCCUAUAUGAAAAGGAAGAAACUGAGAGGCAAUCUACAGAAAAAGAUGUGGCUGAAAUAGUGCAAAAGCUCUGCUUGGCACAUAGCAUGAGUUUUGAG
rnacentral:lncRNA from 1 species